AUACGGAGGAUGCGAGCGUUAUCCGGAUUUAUUGGGUUUAAAGGGUGCGUAGGCGGGUGUUUAAGCGUGAGGUGAAAUGCCGGGGCUCCACCUCGGAACUGCCUCGCGAACCGGGCGCCUUGAAUGCUCCUGCCGUGGGAGGAAUGUGUGGUGUAGCGGUGGAAUGCAUAGAGAUCACACAGAACACCGAUUGCGAAGGCAUCUCACGAAGGGGUGAUUGACGCUGAGGCACGAAAGCGUGGGGAUCAAACAGGAUUAGAUACCCUGGUAGUCCACGCAGUAAACGAUGAUAACUAACCGCUGGUCUAUUUAUGGUUCAGUGGCCAAGCGAAAGCGAUAAGUUAUCCACCUGGGGAGUACGACCGCAAGGUUGAAACUCAAAGGAAUUGACGGGG
rnacentral:rRNA from 1 species